rnacentral:rRNA from 1 species
GAGGAAUAUUGGUCAAUGGGCGCGAGCCUGAACCAGCCAAGUAGCGUGCAGGAUGACGGCCCUAUGGGUUGUAAACUGCUUUUGUAUGGGAAUAAAGUCAAUCACGUGUGAUUGUUUGCAGGUACCAUACGAAUAAGGACCGGCUAAUUCCGUGCCAGCAGCCGCGGUAAUACGGAAGGUCCGGGCGUUAUCCGGAUUUAUUGGGUUUAAAGGGAGCGUAGGCCGGAGAUUAAGUGUGUUGUGAAAUGUAGACGCUCAACGUCUGACUUGCAGCGCAUACUGGUUUCCUUGAGUACGCACAACGUUGGCGGAAUUCGUCGUGUAGCGGUGAAAUGCUUAGAUAUGACGAAGAACUCCGAUUGCGAAGGCAGCUGACGGGAGCGCAACUGACGCUUAAGCUCGAAGGUGCGGGUAUCGAACAGGAUUAGAUACCCUGGUAGUCCGCACAGUAAACGAUGGGUGCCCGCUGUUGGUACCUGGUAUCAGCGGCUAAGCGAAAGCAUUAAGCAUCCCACCUGGGGAGUACGCCGGCAACGGUG